rnacentral:rRNA from 1 species
UACGUAGGGUGCAAGCGUUAAUCGGAAUUACUGGGCGUAAAGCGUGCGAAGGCGGUUUUGUAAGUCUGUCGUGAAAGCCCCGGGCUCAACCUGGGAAUUGCGAUGGAGACUGCAAGGAUUGAAUCUGGCAGAGGGGGGUAGAAUUCCACGUGUAGCAGUGAAAUGCGUAGAGAUGUGGAGGAACACCGAUGGCGAAGGCAGCCCCCUGGGUCAAGAUUGACGCUCAUGCACGAAAGCGUGUGGAGCAAACAGG